rnacentral:rRNA from 1 species
GAUGAACGCUGGCGGCGUGCCUAACACAUGCAAGUCGAACGGAGUCGUUUUGGAAAUCUCUUCGGAGAUGGAAUUCUCGACUUAGUGGCGGACGGGUGAGUAACGCGUGAGCAAUCUGCCUUUAAGAGGGGGAUAACAGUCGGAAACGGCUGCUAAUACCGCAUAAAGCAUUAAAUUCGCAUGUUUUUGAUGCCAAAGGAGCAAUCCGCUUUUAGAUGAGCUCGCGUCUGAUUAGCUAGUUGGCGGGGUAACGGCCCACCAAGGCGACGAUCAGUAGCCGGACAGAGGGGGUGAACGGCCACAUUGGGACUGAGACACGGCCCAGACCCCUACGGGAGGCAGCAGUGGGGAAUAGUGCGAAAUGGGGGAAACACUGACGCAGCAACGCCGCGUGAUUGAAGAAGGCCUUCGGGUUGUAAAGAUCUUUAAUCAGGGACGAAACAAAUGACGGUACCUGAAGAAUAAGCGCCGGCUAACUACGUG